rnacentral:tRNA from 1 species
GGGACGGGGAUGGCUCCAUUCAAAGCCUUGACAGCUUUUGGAUCGGGGUUCGAUUCCCCGCCGCUCCA